AUACGGAGGGUGCAAGCGUUAAUCGGAAUCACUGGGCGUAAAGCGCACGUAGGCGGCUUGGUAAGUCAGGGGUGAAAUCCCACAGCCCAACUGUGGAACUGCCUUUGAUACUGCCAGGCUUGAGUACCGGAGAGGGUGGCGGAAUUCCGGGUGUAGGAGUGAAAUCCGUAGAUAUCUGGAGGAACACCGGUGGCGAAGGCGGCCACCUGGACGGUAACUGACGCUGAGGUGCGAAAGCGUGGGUAGC
rnacentral:rRNA from 1 species